GUACCAGCAUUACUGUGUUUGUUGAAUCUGACUGAUUAAGUACACACUGUCAUCAGUCUAACCACGUUUAGUGUGAAAUUCAUGAUAUCGCAAAGCAUCCACUUCGUGCUUUCUGUCAAUAGCUAUCAUCUAAUAGGAUAUGCUUUAUCUUUCUUAUACAGUGACAUACCUAUGGCACAAUUUAUCAUCAACAUGAAUGCUGCACUGCCUCAAGCAGAUAAGUUCAUUAUUCAAGUAUUGGAUAACACUCAUCUUUUUGUGCGAUCAGACGUGGCUGGGAUGAUACGAAGCGCCAUUGCAUCAUUCAGAGAGCAAAAUACCUAUGAGAAGCCUUCUUAAUCUGUGUAAGGAUCAUUGCUGCAUUCCUAACGUAAUGAUGCCCAUGCUUUUCAAGUAUGUACAAUCUUGUUUGUUUAUUUGGACCUAAAUUUUACGAACUAAACCUACAUUGAGGCCAAGUAUUGCUAUUUCUAUUCUAAUUUUGAGUACAGUUCUUGAAAAAAAUUGAACUUCACAGGGUUGGUGUGCGUUUGUUUUGCUAUUUCA
rnacentral:lncRNA from 1 species